rnacentral:rRNA from 1 species
GAUGAACGCUAGCUACAGGCUUAACACAUGCAAGUCGAGGGACCGGCGCACGGGUGAGUAACACGUAUCCAACCUGCCCUUUACUCGGGGAUAGACUAUCGCAAGAACGAUUAAUAGCCGAUAUAAUGGAUGGGGAUGCGUUCCAUUAGGUUGUUGGUGAUGUAACGGCGCAACAACCCUUCGAUGGCUAGGGGUUCUGAGAAGCAGGACUCCAACAUUGGAACUGAAGAACGAUCCAAACUCCUACGGGAGGAAGCAGUGAGGAAGAUUGGUCAAUGGCAGCUAGCCUGAACCAGCCAAGUAGCGUGAAGGAUGAAGGCUUAUGGGGCGUAAACUUCUUUUAUAUAAAAAUAUGUAUUAAAUGAAUAAGGAUCGGCUCACUCCGGGCCAGCAGCCGCGGUAAAAC